GACGAACGCUGGCGGCGUGCUUAACACAUGCAAGUCGAACGGGCCUGUCUUCUUUUUUGGGGGUGGGUUGAGUGGCGAACGGGUGAGUAUCACGUGAGUAACCUGCCCUUCGGUCCUGGAUAACCGCUUGAAAGGGCGGCUAAUACGGGGUGGUCCGGUUGGUCCGCAUGGGCUGGUCGGGAUAGAUUCACUGUUUUUGGUGUUUCGGCGGGGGAUGGGCUCGCGGCCUAUCAGCUUGUUGGUGGGGUGAUGGCCUACCAAGGCGGUGACGGGUAGCCGGCCUGAGAGGGUGGGCGGCCACACUGGGACUAAGAUACGGCCCAGACUCCUGCGGGAGGCAGCAGUGGGGGGUAUUGCACAAUGGGCGGAAGCCUGAUGCAGCGACGUCGCGUGAGGGAUGGAGGCCUUCGGGUUGUGAACCUCUGUUUCCGGUGGUGAAGGCCCUGUCCGUGUGGUGGGGUUGACGGUAGCCGGGGAUGAAGCGCCGGCUAACUACGUG
rnacentral:rRNA from 1 species